rnacentral:tRNA from 1 species
UAGCUCAGAUGGUAGAGAAUCUGCCUGCAAUACAGGAGACCCAGGUUCAAUCCCUGG